rnacentral:rRNA from 1 species
UACUAGCAGUCGAGCGAACAGACGAGGAGCUUGCUCCUUUGACGUUAGCGGCGGACGGGUGAGUAACACGUGGGUAACCUACCUAUAAGACUGGGAUAACUUCGGGAAACCGGAGCUAAUACCGGAUAAUAUUUCGAACCGCAUGGUUCGAUAGUGAAAGAUGGCUCUGCUAUCACUUAUAGAUGGACCUGCGCCGUAUUAGCUAGUUGGUAAGGUAACGGCUUACCAAGGCAACGAUACGUAGCCGACCUGAGAGGGUGAUCGGCCACACUGGAACUGAGACACGGUCCAGACUCCUACGGGAGGCAGCAGUAGGGAAUCUUCCGCAAUGGGCGAAAGCCUGACGGAGCAACGCCGCGUGAGUGAUGAAGGUCUUCGGAUCGUAAAACUCUGUUAUUAGGGAAGAACAAACGUGUAAGUAACUGUGCACGUCUUGACGGUACCUAAUCAGAAAGCCACGGCUAACUACGUGCCAGCAGCCGCGGUAAUACGUAGGUGGCAAGCGUUAUCCGGAAUUAUUGGGCGUAAAGCGCGCGUAGGCGGUUUUUUAAGUCUGAUGUGAAAGCCCACGGCUCAACCGUGGAGGGUCAUUGGAAACUGGAAAACUUGAGUGCAGAAGAGGAAAGUGGAAUUCCAUGUGUAGCGGUGAAAUGCGCAGAGAUAUGGAGGAACACCAGUGGCGAAGGCGACUUUCUGGUCUGUAACUGACGCUGAUGUGCGAAAGCGUGGGGAUCAAACAGGAUUAGAUACCCUGGUAGUCCACGCCGUAAACGAUGAGUGCUAAGUGUUAGGGGGUUUCCGCCCCUUAGUGCUGCAGCUAACGCAUUAAGCACUCCGCCUGGGGAGUACGACCGCAAGGUUGAAACUCAAAGGAAUUGA